AUAGUGGGGAAAUGUUCACGAGGUUAUUCCUUUGAAGCAAAUAUUUACUGCGCUUGAAUGAAGGAGAAAUGGUUUUGCCGUAUGAAUCAUGACAUUGCUCCUUUUACAUUAGAUCUGUACAAAUUGAGAGACAUUAGGCAUGACUUACAAGACUCUCGGCCGGUACUUUCCCCUUUGCAUAGUACGCGGGGCUAGGUUUGCGUGCG
rnacentral:lncRNA from 1 species